GGUGGGGAUGAGCUUACGGAGCUCUGCGAAGGCCGUGUUGACGUUGUGCUGGCGCCAGCGCUCCCUGGUGUUGGUGAACACCUUCCUGGUCAUGAUGCUGGAAGGUGUGGACGCCCCACCAGGAGAAAAACCUGCUGCUCUGCCUUUAAACUCCGCCUGAUUGGCCCACAAAAGUGGAAACGCAGGAAGUGAGCUGCUCUGACCUGAUUCAACCAGAUCGG